rnacentral:misc_RNA from 1 species
AAGUCGUAACAAGGUUUCCGUAGGUGAACCUGCGGAAGGAUCAUUAUCCAAACGUUAAAACCUCCCCCGAACAUUCAUCCUGCUCUUCUAACCCGCGAAGCUUGCCAUCCCUGGUACAUAAUAUGUAGUUUGGAUUCAGAGACAGCAGUCAGUGUCUGAAAGUGUCAUUGAUUGUGCAAGGAUAACGCUGGACGAUGCUUGUAGACCGCAUCUCGCGGGCAGGAGCUAGGCCAAAGGGUCCCCAUGCCCCCUUACCAACCCACAGCAUAAUGUAAAGCUCUUUGUAAUACAUUGGGUAAAAAAACCGAGCAACUGUGAACAAUGC